rnacentral:rRNA from 1 species
CAGUAGCCACGGGAAUACGAGGGGGGCAAGCGUUGUUCGGAUUUAUUGGGCGUAAAGGGUGCGUAGGCGGUUUGGCAAGUCUUGUGUGAAAUCUUCGGGCUCAACCCGAAGCCUGCACGAGAAACUACCGGGCUUGAGUAUUGGAGAGGUGAGUGGAAUUUCCGGUGUAGCGGUGAAAUGCGUAGAUAUCGGAAGGAACACCUGUGGCGAAAGCGGCUCACUGGACAAUAACUGACGCUGAUGCACGAAAGCUAGGGGAGCAAACAGGAUUAGAUACCCGCGUAGUCCCUGUCUCUUAUAA